rnacentral:rRNA from 1 species
CAGCAGCCGCGGUAAUACGGAGGGGGCUAGCGUUGUUCGGAAUUACUGGGCGUAAAGCGCACGUAGGCGGCUUUGUAAGUUAGAGGUGAAAGCCUGGGGCUCAACUCCAGAAUUGCCUUUAAGACUGCAUCGCUUGAACGUCGGAGAGGUGAGUGGAAUUCCGAGUGUAGAGGUGAAAUUCGUAGAUAUUCGGAAGAACACCAGUGGCGAAGGCGGCUCACUGGACGACUGUUGACGCUGAGGUGCGAAAGCGUGGGGAGCAAACAGGAUUAGAUACCCGGGUAGUCCCUGUCUCUUAUAC